rnacentral:rRNA from 1 species
UUUUUGUUAAAAAUUUAAAGUCGGGCCUGCCCACUGAUAUUUUAAAUGGCCGUGGUAUUUUGACCGUGCUAAGGUAGCAUAAUCAUUAGUUUUUUAAUUGAAAGCUGGAAUGAAGGGUUUGAUAAGAAAAUGACUGUCUCUGUUUAAUUUAAUUAGAAUUUUAUUUUUAAGUUCAAAAGCUUAAUUUUUAUUAAAAGACGAGAAGACCCUAUAGAGUUUAAUAGUUUAAAGUAAUUUUUAUUUUAGAAUUAAUAUAUUUAUUAUUUUAUAUUAUUUAGUUGGGGUGAUUGAAAAAUUUAAUUAACUUUUUUUAUAUUAUGCCAUUAAUUUAUGAAUAUUUGAUCCAAUUUUUUUGAUUAUAAGAUAAAAUUACCUUAGGGAUAACAGCGUAAUUUUUUUAGAAAGUUCAUAUUAAAAGAAAAGAUUGCGACCUCGAUGUUGGAUUAAAAUUUAAUUUUGGUGUAGAAGCUAAAAAGUUUAAGUCUGUUCGACUUUUAAAAUUUUACA